GCCCCGUCAACUAGAUGUGCCGGGAUGCCAGGACACCCGAUGUAAUAAAAUAAAAUAAAAAAGAAUGAAAGAUUAUAUAAUUUAUUUUGCAAUAAAAAGGGCAAAUCCGUGCUAUAAAAGAAUCAGUACCAGAGCUCCGAGAUUCUUAAUCCUGUAUGUAGGGUUUUGGUGAGGAUGAGGAUGGGGCCGGCGCCGGUUUCCGUUUUCUUACUUAGGGCUUCGUUUUCAAGAGCGCAAUCGGCGCUCUCCGCAAGUGGAAACGAAAUGACGCGCUGCAUCUCGGCAGGUAUUGAUGCCGACAUCUAAGGGUUUUGGUGAGGAUGAGGAUGGAGCCGGCUCCGGUUUCCGCUCUCUUACUUAGGGUUUUGUUUUCAAGAGCUCAAUCAGAUCUCUCCACAAGUGGAAACGAAAUGACGCGCUGCAUCUCGGCAGGUGUUGAUGCCGACAUCUAAGGUGCAUUUCCCAUUUUGGUUUGAAUGUCAAGAAUAUUGAUUUUGGCGUGUGUUCCCCAUUUUGGUCUUGAAGAAUGAAGAGUGUGCAGGUUGAAAGUAUUCUACUUAUAUCCUUUUGUUGAAUAAUCGAUUAUGAGCGAUAUGUUUGACUUUAUAGGUCUAGCAUUUUUGUUUCUGGAUCAUUUUUUAUUAGGUCUGUCCUGAAUCCCAAUGAAGAAUUUAUUUGCAAUAUAAAAGUAGUGGACUGAUAUCUUUUGAUGAAUAAUCAGUUCUGAGGGAUGCGGUUGAUCUUUAUGGUUUGUAUCUUAGGUUAAAAGUUGAGAAGACUCAGUAGAGUGUAUUUUUGGCAUGUGUUCUGCUCUAUUUUUGUGCAUCGUUAUGAUCAAUAAAUAAUGUCAUGCAGUUUAAAAGUAGUGAACUGAUAUCCUUCGUUGAUAAAUCUAUUUUGUUAUGUCUAUACCAUUCUUGUUUCUAGAACCCCACUUGGUUCUAUUUUGAAUCCCAAUGAUGAAUGUAUUUGCAAAUUUAAAAGUAGUGGACUGACGUCCUUUGAUGAAUAAUUAAUUCAGAGGGAUAUGGUUGAUCUUUUUGGUUUUUGUCAUUGUGAUUAGACUUUAUAGUUCAUAGCCAGCCCCUCACAUUAGUAGUGACUUUUGCUGCUGAGUUAUUGAAUUGGAUGCACUUGCCAGCGUGCGCAUCUCACCUAUUGAAGUUGGUUUGACUCUGUUUCACCAUCAAAAUCUAUUCCCUUCUGAUGAUGAUAAAUAAUGCGCCAAAGUAAAGCAUGGAAGAGACACGAAUGAUGGUAAACUUUUGCCCAUGCCAAACAACUGCUUGAUAUGAAGACCUGAAGAGAGUUUGAUUGCUCCAUCCCAUGGGUCAUUACAUUAUAAACAAGCCUUUGGUUGGUAAGGAACAGUAAGAGGCAGGACUCUGGAGCACAGGAUUAUAGGAGAGAUUUGCUUAUAGAAAAUAUGCCCAAACCAUUGUUGAACUUCUUUAAUUCUGUGUUUGGGAGUAUAUAAUUUGAAACUUGAAUUUGGAUUUGGGUGUGUUUGAAAUUUGAGUGUACACAUAUUUUAUUCCUAUAAAUAUAUUUGUCGAUUGCAAGUAUUCUUGCUA